rnacentral:tRNA from 1 species
GCCAGUGUGGCAUAGUGGUUUGAAUAUAGGACUACAAUUCUGGAGACCAGAGUUCAAUUCCCAGCUCAGCCA